rnacentral:rRNA from 1 species
AGUGAACGCUGGCGGUAGGCCUAACACAUGCAAGUCGAACGGCAGCGCAGUAAGAGCUUGCUCUUACGGGUGGCGAGUGGCGGACGGGUGAGGAAUACAUCGGAAUCUACUUUUUCGUGGGGGAUAACGUAGGGAAACUUACGCUAAUACCGCAUACGACCUACGGGGGAAAGCAGGGGAUGUUCGGACCUUGCGCGAUUGAAUGAGCCGAUGACGGAUUAGCUAGUUGGCGGGGUAAAGGCCCACCAAGGCGACGUUCCGUAGCUGGUCUGAGAGGGUGAUCCGCCACACUGGCACUGAGACACGGUCCCGACUCCUACGGGAGGCAGCAGUGGGGACUCUUGGACGAUGGGCGCGUGCCUUAUCCUGCCCUACCGCGUGGGUGAAGAAGGCCUUCGGGUUGUAGAGCCCUUUUGUUGUGAAAGAAGAGCAGCACGUUAAUCCCCCGCUGUUCUGACGGUACCCAAAGAAUAAGCACCGGCUAACUUCGUG